rnacentral:rRNA from 1 species
UACGUAGGGUCCGAGCGUUGUCCGGAAUUAUUGGGCGUAAAGAGCUCGUAGGCGGUCUGUCGCGUCGGUUGUGAAAACCUGGGGCUCAACUCCAGGCCUGCAAUCGAUACGGGCAGACUAGAGUUCGGUAGGGGAGACUGGAAUUCCUGGUGUAGCGGUGAAAUGCGCAGAUAUCAGGAGGAACACCGGUGGCGAAGGCGGGUCUCUGGGCCGAAACUGACGCUGAGGAGCGAAAGCGUGGGGAGCGGACAGG